GAGGAAUCUUGCGCAAUGGGCGAAAGCCUGACGCAGCGACGCCGCGUGGAGGAAGACAGCCUUCGGGUUGUAAACUCCUGUCAGAGGUGAAGAAUCCCCGCAAGGGGUUGACGGUAACCUCAAAGGAAGCCCCGGCUAACUACGUGCCAGCAGCCGCGGUAAUACGUAGGGGGCAAACGUUACUCGGAAUUACUGGGCGUAAAGGGUGUGUAGGUGGUUGAGUAAGUCAAAGAUGAAAUUCCGAGGCUCAACUUCGGAAUCGUCUUUGAAACUGCUCGGCUUGAGGAUAGUAGAGGAGAAUGGAAUUCCCGGUGGAGCGGUGAAAUGCGUAGAUAUCGGGAGGAACACCCGAGGCGUAAGCGAUUCUCUAGGCUAUUCCUGACGCUGAAACACGAAAGCUAGGGGAGCGAACGG
rnacentral:rRNA from 1 species